rnacentral:misc_RNA from 1 species
UCACCGCUUACGCGGGCAGUCUCUCUAGAGUCCCCACCAUUACGUGCUGGCAACUAAAGAUAGGGGUUGCGCUCGUUGCGGGACUUAACCCAACAUCUCACGACACGAGCUGACGACGGCCAUGCAGCACCUAGUUUCGUGCAAUUGCUUGCUGACCUAUUUCUAAAUCAUUCACUAACUUUCAAGCCCUGGUAAGGUUCCGCGCGUAUCAUCGAAUUAAACCACAUGCUCCUCCGCUUGUGCGGGCCCCCGUCAAUUCCUUUGAGUUUCAGCCUUGCGGCCGUACUCCCCAGGUGGAUCACUUAAUGCUUUCGCUUGGACGCGUACAGUGUAUCGCACACAUCUAGUGAUCAUCGUUUAAGGCGUGGACUAC